GGGUGUGUUACGCUAACAGUGGAUACGCUGACAAGUGCCACUAAUUAGAUCUGGUGUCACAAUAGUUUGGAUUUAAAAAACAAAAAACUUUUUUUCACUGUUAUAGAUUGAAUAGCAGUCAGUGUCCUUAAAGCGGGUGUGUUACGCUAACAGUGGAUACGCUGACCAGUGCCACUAAUUAGAUCUGGUGUCACAAUAGCUUGGAUUUAAAAAAACAAAACUCUUUUUUCACUGUUAUAGAUUGAAUAGCAGUCAGUGUCCUUAAAGCGGGUGUGUUACGCUAACAGUGGAUACGCUGACAAGUGCCACUAAUUAGAUCUGGUGUCACAAUAGCUUGGAUUUAAAAAAA